GGGAGUCUUGCAUUAAGACUCCAUGUUAGCUCCAAGUGCACAUGCAAAAAAGAGAACAAAACAAGAAUUAGAAUGAACUAUGUUUCCGAGCAAACAUAGGAUAAAGACAUUAUGAAUCAUACUAUAAACUUAUAAACUUACAACAUAGCAGACAAAAUUCAUCAUGUUAGAAUGUUAUACUAUCAUAUUGAUAACACUGAUUCAAGAACAUCCUCUAACGAAGUAUUCAAGCAGAUAUUUUCUAUUAUUCUCAUUUAGAAUUUAAGAAGGAGCAAUUACAAGUUAAGCAGGGUACCCUAAGGCAUACUUUACUAAGUAAGCAAAUAAAUCUUAUACGAUGAGAAAAUGAGUGAGUAAAUUUUAGAUGCAGUAUGUAUGUAAUUAUAAUAAUGCAAAUAAGCAUCUCUACUUCACUGUGACAAAGAAGACAUCAAGGAUAGUAUAGCUUGCUUAGUUUGGUCUCGCUAUUAACAACAACAACAACCCAAUAUAAUCUCACUUAAUGAAGUCUGAGGAGGGUAGUAUGUACACAGACCUUACCCCUACCCUUGAGUAGAGAGAUCCAAAUAGACCCCCGGCAUCCUUCCCUCCAAGAACUUACCACCUUGCUCUUGAGGAGACUCGAACUCACAACCUCCCGGUUGGAAGUGGGGGUUGCUUACCAUCAG
rnacentral:lncRNA from 1 species